AUUGAACGCUGGCGGCAGGCCUAACACAUGCAAGUCGAGCGGAUGAAGGGAGCUUGCUCCUGGAUUCAGCGGCGGACGGGUGAGUAAUGCCUAGGAAUCUGCCUGGUAGUGGGGGAUAACGUCCGGACACGGGCGCUAAUACCGCAUACGUCCUGAGGGAGAAAGUGGGGGAUCUUCGGACCUCACGCUAUCAGAUGAGCCUAGGUCGGAUUAGCUAGUUGGUGGGGUAAAGGCCUGCCAAGGCGACGAUCCGUAACUGGUCUGAGAGGAUGAUCAGUCACACUGGAACUGAGACACGGUCCAGACUCCUACGGGAGGCAGCAGUGGGGAAUAUUGGACAAUGGGCGAAAGCCUGAUCCAGCCAUGCCGCGUGUGUGAAGAAGGUCUUCGGAUUGUAAAGCACUUUAAGUUGGGAGGAAGGGCAGUAAGUUAAUACCUUGCUGUUUUGACGUUACCAACAGAAUAAGCACCGGCUAACUUCGUG
rnacentral:rRNA from 1 species